rnacentral:RNase_P_RNA from 1 species
AGAGCAGGCCAGACGAUCGCCGGGAUAUGGAUAUAUCCGGGAGGAAAGUCCGAACACCACAGGGCAGGAUGCUCCAUAACGUGGAGUCACGGUGACGUGAAGGCAAGUGCAACAGAGAGUAGACCGCCUUUUUCUUUUACAGAGAAAGGUAAGGGUGAAAGGGUGCGGUAAGAGCGCACCAGUGUCCCGGGCGACCGGGGCAGCUGGGUAAACCCCAUCCGGUGCAAGACCAAAUAGGGAGGCAUAAGGGACGGCCCGUCUCCGCCUCCGGGUAGGUCGCUUGAGGCUGUCGGCAACGUCAGCCCUAGAUGAAUGAUCGUCACCUUUUUCGGGGUAACUGGAAAAAGGAACAGAAUUCGGCUUACGGCCUACUCUGACC